rnacentral:lncRNA from 1 species
AGUAGAGGAAGUGGUUGUGGGAACAAGUUUGCAAAAUGAGCUAAAAGGGUGGGGUUGAUGUACAGAGGUAACGCUGGGAGCCACCAUUUAUACUCUGUGGUACCUGGGCUUCCUUGUCCAUGUCUCUAGCAUGAAGAUGUUGGCUUCCCUGCCUCCUAAUAGCUACUCAUUCCCUCCUCAAAUUUUCUCUUUCUGUGAGAAAUUGUGGAUAGAAAAUACCCCUCUCCGCUUUCCCCACCACAGAAUGGAGAGCUUCUUAUUUUGGAUGCCCCUGUUCAUGCAUGAGAGAGGGGAACCCUUGCCAGAAGUAUGAGCAGCAGGGAUCUGGGGAGCUUAAUGUCAAAGCUACAUCUUCAUAAAGAACCAUUCAUAUUGACGAGGCCACUUCCUCAUCCCUGGGUGCCUGCAGGAAUAAAGAGAGACCACAGUAAAGCUGCUCUUAUCAGAGAGGUGCACCCUGGGCCAAGUCAUAGGACCUCCAGAGUCCAGGCCUCAUUUGGGCUGACAGCUGCUCACAUCAGCCAGAGGCAGAACCAGGGAGCUGAGUGUCAGUGCCUGGGACCACCGUAGGAAGCCAGGGACUGUAGACCUUACCCCAUGUGGCUAGAGGCUCAAGACGUGGGCCAGGCUCCUUGGUGUGAAUCUCAGUUCAACUGCUGAUGAGCUGUGACGCCAGUGGGCUGUUGGCACUCACAAGCCUCUGUCUCAUUACCUGUCACGUGGAGUGAUGCUGAUGCGGCUCUUCAUAGGGCUGUGUGGGGAAGCAGGCAAUGAACCACACAGAAAACACCUGCAGAGAGUGAGUGCUCAGUGGAGGCUGGUUACCAUUCUUUGGAAACAUAAAGAAAGGCUUUAUGCAUCUCUAUAUGAAAUGUUAACAAAAUGGUGAGCUUGUGAAACCAGUUCGUUCAUGGGAAGAUUUCCAGUCGUGCAGCAGGCUGAGAGCUACUGAGGCAGGUGAGAGCCAGCUAGAGUUGACAGGCAACGUCACAUCCCGUCUUGUGCUGUUGACUGACUUGCCUCUCCCCGAUGCAUACCCCUAAACACGCUGCAGUAUCGUUGAGGGCAGGGGCUGUGGCUUACUUCUUUUUUUUAACUUCAUAAAAAUUUCCUUUAUAUCUAAAAAAUGUCAUAAACAUAAUUCAAAGACCGAGUCCAAACUGGGAAAAACAUUUAUUACAAAGCAAAUGCAAUAAUAGGUUGAUGAUCUUUAUUUAUUAAAAAAUUUUUUUUUUAGAGAUGGAAUCUUGCUCUGUUGCCCUGGCUGGAGUGCAGUGGCGGGAUCAUAGCUCACCGCAGCCUCGAUCUCCUGGGCUCAAGCGAUCCUCCUGCCUCAGCCUCAUGAGUAGCGUGCCACCAUGCCUGGCUAAUUUAAAAAAAAUUUUUUUUUUUUUUGUAGAGAUGCAGUCUCACUAUGUUGCCCGGGCUAGUCUUGAACUCCUGGCCUCAAGCAAUCCUUCUGCCUCAGCCUUCCAAAGUGCUGGAAUUAUAGGUGUGUGCUACCACACUCAGUCAAUCAUCUUUUUAAAGAAUAAUUUAUUUUGAAACAAUAAUAAACAUACAGGGAAAUUGGAAGUACAGUAUCCAAAACUAUUUUAUUUUCUUAAUCCAUUUGAACAAAAGUUGCUGAUCUGAUGCCAUAACACCCCAAAUAUUAUGCAGCCAAGAUAAUAACAUGAUUGUUGUUUUAAGAAACCUACUUUUGUACUGAUAACUGGAACAAAGUUUGAUACCUGGAAGUGGUGCUGGUGCAGCAAACCCUAAUCCAUGGGGCACUGGCUCUGGGCCCAGGCACUGGGUGGAAGCUGGAAGGACCCUGAGGAGACUGACAGUGAGGGCUUAUAAAAAGGUAGUGCCUGGCUGGGCGUAGUGGUUCACGCCUGUCAUCCCAGCACUUUGAGAGACUGAGGCGGGAGGAUCACAUGAGGCCACGAGUUCGAGACCAGCCUGGACAACAUGGCAAAACCCUGUCUCUACUAAAAAUAUAAAAAUUAGCCAGCCGUGGUGGUGCACACCUGUAAUCCCAGCUACUCGGAAGUCUGAGGCACAAGACUCACUUGAACCCAGGAGGCAGAGGUUGCAGUGAGCCGAGAUCAUGCCACUGCACUCCAGCCUGGGCAACAGACCUGGACUGUCUCCAAAAAAGGUGGUGCCUGUGGGUAGUCCUAGCUACUCAGGAUGCUGAGGCAAGAAGAUCCCUUGAGCCCAGGAGUUGAAGGCUGCAGUGAAAUAUGAUUACGCCACUGCACUCCAGCCUGCACAAAAGAAAAAAUCCUUGCCUCUAAAAUUAAAAAUAAAAGCAGAAAAAGCUACUGAAAGCUGGAGGUAAAGGGAUCUACAUUAUGUAGUGGUAGGCAAACUUGGCAAUGCUGUUGUCUGUAGUUAGGUAGAAAAUAGGAAAUGUUCACAUCUUUCACCCACUUUUUGAUGGGGUUGUUUGUUUUUCUCUUGUAAAUUUGUUUAAGUUCCUUGUAGAUUUUGGAUAUUAGACCUUUGUCAGAUGGGUCGAUUGAAAAAAUUUUCACCCGUUCUGUAGGUUGCCCGUUUGCUCUCUGAUGAUAGCUUCUUUUGCUGUGCAGAAGCUCUUUAGUUUAAUUAGAUCCCAUUUAUCAAUUUUGGCUUUUGUUGCAAUUGCUUUUGGUGUUUUAGUCAUGAAGCAAAAGAAGACAUUUAUGCGGCCAACAAAUAUAUGAAACAAAGCUCAUCAUCACUGGUCAUUAGAGAAAUGCAAAUCAAAACCACAAUGGAUACCAUCUCAUGGCAGUUAGAAUGGCAAUCAUUAAAAAGUCAGGAAGCAACAGAUGCUGGCGAGGCUGUGGAGAAAUAGAAUGCUUUUACACAGUUGGUGGGAAUGUAAAUUACUUCAACCAUUGUGGAAGACAAUAUGGCGAUUCCUUAAGGAUCUAGAACCAGAAAUAUCAUUUGACCCAGCCAUCCCAUUACUGGGCAUAUACCCAAAGGAUUAUAAAUCAUUCUGUUAUAAAGAUACAUGCACACGUAUGUUUAUUGCAGCACUAUUUACAAUAGCAAAGACUUAGAACCAAUCCAAAUGCCCAUCAAUAAUAGACUGGAUAAAGAAAAUGUG